UCUUCAGUGAUCAUUCAAAUCC
rnacentral:miRNA from 1 species